rnacentral:lncRNA from 1 species
ACUUCAGCACCCAGCAUUGGGCUGGACCUUGGGAAACGCCUGCUUCUGCUUCUCAGCAGGAGCCUGCAGGGCUCAGCCUAGAGAGCUCAGACCUCACCCUACUUCUCCUCACCACUAUCUAGUGAUAGGGGGUCAAACUAGGGACAUAAAAGGUGGAAAAAAGAAGAACCCACAAAGUAGCAUAGGCCAGCUACAACUACUGCAACUGAAGUGUCCAGGCAAGGCACAGAUUACUCUUGAUCAGCAAGGUCCAAUUGGAAGAUGGAACACAGAGACUGGAAAGGCGGAACCAAACCGUGAUGAGCUGAAGCCUAGCGCCAGCAGUGCCCGUCCUGCAUUGAAGGGACCCAAGAGAGCAGCCCUCCUCUCCUCCUUGUUCCCGAAGCCUGAAGAACGCGUGUCACCUGCUAAUGGGACCCGGCAGGUGGAACUAGAUCACAGGUUGAAAUGAAGAUGUCAGACUGCAAAGCAGGGGACAGUAACCAGACCUGGCAGGUGCUCAGCCAGCCGGUCCCCUUGACACCCCCACUCUACCACCCCACCACACACGCUAAGCUCCCGUCUCCCAGGAGCCUCUGCUCACUGCUCUGUUUCCCUCUAUCUGAAGCUCCUAAAGGAAUUCAGAAUUGUCACAGAUGCACUAACUAAACACCAGGCUGGAGCCACUGAUCCAUCUUGCCAAACCAGGCUUAUGUUUUUCAAAAUAGUUCUUAAUGGAGAAUUUCAAAAACAGAGGAAUGGGGCUGGAGAAGUGACUUCUGGGUUAAAAGCAGACCCUGUUCUUGCAGAGGGCCUAAAUUCAGUUCCUAGCACUUACCGUGUGUCUCACAAAUGCAUGAGCAUGUCCAGGGGCAUCUGACGCACAAGCCCAUACCCACAAGUGUAUACAGAAUUAAAAAUUGUAGUGGCGCACACCUUUAGUCCCAGCGUCCAAGAGACAGAAGCAGGCAGAUCUCUGAGUUCAAAGCCAGCCUGGUCUAUAGAAUGAGUUCCAAGACAGCCAGAGCUACAUGGUGAGAUCCUGUCUUAAGUUGCCCCCACAUUUUCUUAAAAAACAUCUUAAAACAAACAACAGAACAGAACAGUACAGGAACUCACAAUCUAAUGAACCUGAAGGUGGUCACUGCCCGACACCUACAGCGUCUGCGUGGCCCCACCCUCCUGGUUAUUCUGAAGCAGAUUCCAGCAAUGCACCAUCUCUCCUACCGAUGUUUCAGUGCUGUGUUUGUCACUGUGGCUGUGACAAACACCUGACAGAAGUUGCUCAAGAGCUACAGUGGGGAAGGCACAGCUCAGGAAUGUUAAGCAGUUGGUCACAUCACAACCACAGUCAGUAAGGGAUGAAGAGAGGGAUGAAGGCCAGGGCUCACCCACUUUCUCCUUUUUUUGUAUUCAGUCAGCACCUCAGCCCAUGGGGUGGCCACAAACACUUUCAGGUGGGUCUUCUCUGCUCAGUUAAUGAUCUCUGGAAGCAGCCUUAGAGACAAACCCAGGUGAUAUAAAUCCAGUCAGGCUGACUGUGAAGAUUAAACAUCCACGAUGUCUCUAAAAGAUAAGAGCUCGGUUUAAAAUGUAUUACAUCCAUUUAUCAUGUGUAUAAAUGCAUGCUGUACACUGCGGCCCUGUGAGACGCUGUCUCUCAGCACCCUGCUCUAUGCCCUACCUGCCUCCUCCUCUAGGAACCCCUACCCCGACCCUGGAGCCACCUGCCCCUGAAGGCCCCUGACCUCUGUCCUCCAAACCCGAUGCCAGUUGUUUGUCCUCCUUGCAAGGUUUGGGAUAUGGGACUGCUUCCGUUUGUCUGCAACCGAUGACUACGAUUGUCUCGUGCUCUAGGAGGGGCGUGAAUCUUGCCAGCUGCAGAUAGUUUAAUUCUGGGGACUCUGGAGAAGGACUAAAUGUCAAAGUCUUGAGAGGGGUGGGAGGUGCUCCAAAAGGAGGAGAAGGAGGAGGAAGUGGUGGCGGAGGCUGCUGCUCCCUCAUGCUGCUCCUGGUUGCUGUUGUUGCGGUUUGAUGGGAAGAAGUUGGAAAUAGCCUAAAGAUAAAGACUGGACUGGCCCAAAGGAACUCUACACCCCUAACCAGCAGGAAGUGGCCUAUAGAAGUCUGUGGCCCCUUUUCCCUCUAGUCUCCUCUCUCUCCUGUCUAGUGUUGGGAGUUUGGAAGGGAGGUACAGAUGUAAGAACCGAGAAAAACAGUAAAACAAAUAU